rnacentral:rRNA from 1 species
AGGAAGGCAGCAGGCGCGCAAAUUACCCAAUCCCGAUACGGGGAGGUAGUGACAAUAAAUAACAAUACAGGGCUUUCUAGUCUUGUAAUUGGAAUGAGUACAAUUUAAAUCCCUUAACGAGGAACAAUUGGAGGGCAAGUCUGGUGCCAGCAGCCGCGGUAAUUCCAGCUCCAAUAGCGUAUAUUAAAGUUGUUGCAGUUAAAAAGCUCGUAGUUGAAUUUUAGGCUCGGUUGGACGGUCUGCCUUUGGUUUGUACUGUCCUGACUGGGUCUUACCUUCUGGUGAGCUGUCGUGUUGUUUACUCAGUGCGGCAGGGAACCAGGACUUUUACUUUGAAAAAAUCAGAGUGUUUAAAGCAGGCAUUCGCUUGAAUACAUUAUCAUGGAAUAAUAGAAUAGGACUUUGGUUCUAUUUUGUUGGUUUCUAGGACCGAAGUAAUGAUUAAUAGGGAUAGUUGGGGGCAUUAGUAUUUAAUUGUCAGAGGUGAAAUUCUUGGAUUUAUGAAAGACUAACUUCUGCGAAAGCAUUUGCCAAGGAUGUUUUCAUUAAUCAAGAACGAAAGUUAGGGGAUCGAAGACGAUCAGAUACCGUCGUAGUCUUAACCAUAAACUAUGCCGACUAGGGAUCAGACAAGGAUUUUUUGACUUGUUUGGCACCUUAUGAGAAAUCAAAGUUUUUGGGUUCCGGGGGGAGUAUGGUCGCAAGGCUGAAACUUAAAGGAAUUGACGGAAGGGCACCACCAGGAGUGGAGCCUGCGGCUUAAUUUGACU